rnacentral:lncRNA from 1 species
UUCGCCGAACUGUGAGAACGUCCUCUCUAGCUCAGCAUCUCCGGUGGCCCAUGCUAGGCCGCCGACGAAACACCGGUACUCAACUUCAGACAUUUUUUUUUCUAACAGACGGAGAAAAGUAAAGGUUAGAGAGAGAGAAAGAGACUUGUGAUUUGAGAUGAUAAGACGGAACCUUAAUUUAUAGAAGGAGAUGACGUAGUAACUGGGGUUAAGAUAUUUUCUAGGGCUGCCGAGAGAUGGGUGUAACUAUGAUUAGGAAGUGCGGUUAAAUGGUUAGUGGAUAGGCCCACCAUCAUCAUGUGAGUGAGUGUGUGCACUUUGGGAAAACAAAGAUUUCUUUCUCCUCGUUCCGGGCAAACAAAAUAUCUCUGCAUUUAAAUAUCUUUUAUUCUCCCAGAUGAUAUGACGCUUUUAUCCUCCGUCUCUUCUCUAAUGUGAGAACUAUUGGGCCUGAAUAUUACUACAGCUUUGGCCCAUUGAAUCUGACGGCAAAUGAGAUUGUAUGUUACUCUUGGGUCACUUCUGGUCGGAAGCUGAAUGGGAUCGCUGAUCGGUGUAUGAAUAAAAGUAAUUAAAGGUCAAACGACGGCGUUUCAUUGUAGGGUUUAGUCCAUUUCAUCGGUCGUUUCCUUCCUCGAGAAUCUCCAGUUCAAGGAAAAACAAAUUUAGGAAUCUAAAAGUCAGAGAUGGCAUCGGUUUGCAGAUCAUUUCUAAUGAGUGGUUCAAGAAACUUAGUAUCGAGAUCAAGAACCGUAACUCAAAAGUGCAUCAAUCUUAAACCCACGACGACAACGACUUCGUCUCACUUUGCUUCAGUCUCCCAAUCCAUCCCUCGCGCUUCAAGGUGACCACACUCAGUUUCUAAUCCUUAAUUGCCUAUAGAGUCCUCAGAAAAACACGAAAAUUUAGAGAACAGCCAUGUUUUAAAUGUGAAGGGUUCUGUCGGCAUUGGGAAGCGUUGAAACGAUGAUACCACUUCAUAGUGCGGUUCCACACUCUUUUAAAUUUUGUGAACAAACAGAGUUACUUUUUUUUCAGACAAAGUAAACUAGAACUCUGUUCAACCACUGCACAUAAUGUUUCAAGUCGCAAAGAUAUGACCAUACAUCUUCAAAAUUACGUGAUUCUGUUAAUAGUUAUGUUAAGAUAAUUUCACGGAGAAAGUCUGUUCACAUUUUGCCAUCAAUACAUAUGGGUACUUUCACUUGGCUGAUUUGGAGAAAAUAUUGGCCAAUUUGUUACUUCAAAAUUUAUUAUAUUCAAUACUGAAAACAACCUUUUUGGGAAUUUUGAAAUCUUUUAUUUCCAUUUCAAAUAAUCGAAGAUAUCUUCUUUACUUGAUGUCGACAUUGAAAGAAAAGUAUAAUUAUAAAAACGGAAAGAGAAUAUUCGGAGUAUAUCAGUGUCUUUUUAGCUUAUAUUCUUAAUCAAAAACGAAGAGAUAAGAUCUGGUCUAAAUCUAAAACAACUCAUAUCAUCUAAUCAAUCUUUUAAACGCAAUAAUGAUAGCAUCUUAAAUCAAAAGAUAUAAGGUAGGGAGUGGGGAAUAUUAACACACUAAUAAUUCAAAAACAUAGGCUGAAAUAUAUAAAUGAGUUCAUAAUAGCUGAUCGGGCGACGAACGAGUAUAAUGCGACGGUGAAAAAAAAAGAAAUCAAGAGAAGCUUAUAAUUUAGAGAACAAGAUGCGAUUUAACAUUUCGUUUCAGGCAAGCAAGACUUUAACGAUCCGUUAAAACAAAAAAGUAAACAAGAAAUCCAGAACCAAACCAAACCGGAGAAACAUUCAUACGGAAGCAAGUCUAAACCGAAAACAGAGCACCACUUCAUCUUCGAUUACCAUCCACCGCCUCCACUUCCUCCUCCGUAGCCACCGUCACCACCUCCGUAGCCACCUCCAUCACGUCUGCCACCACCACCACCGUAUCCUCCACCUCCAGAUCCGUAACCGCCGCCUCCACGGCCGCCACCUCCAGAUCCGUAACCGCCGCCUCCACGUCUGUCACCGUAUCCACCGCCGCCUCCACCGUAUCCACCACCUCCACGGCCACCGUAUCCACCUCCACCACGGCCUCCUCCACCGCCGCCUCCUCUGGACUGAGCCUCGUUGACGGUGAUGGUACGACCGUCGAGCUCCUUCCCGUUCAUCUCAUCGAUGGCAUCCUUCAUGGACUUCUCAUCCUUGAAGGUCACGAAUCCGAAUCCCCUCGAUCUCCCAGUCUCACGAUCGUUAAUGAUCUGUCAAAAACCAAAUCAAAAACAAUAAUCAGCAAAAGAGCAAUCAUUAAAGCUGAAUGAAUCAAAAAAAAAGCGAUGGAUGAAACAAAGAAAUCGAACGUUCUCCGGGCUCGUAAAAGCAGCAGGAAGAUUAAACGUACCGAUGGGACAAAGCAAGUAACAGUAGUAACAAAGAACAUAGUAACAGAGUAAUCGAAUCAAGUAACAGAGAUACACAGAUCGGAAUCAGAUCCGCCGAGGAUCAGAACCAUCCUCGAGUCCGAUCUCUCGUGUAACGGACCUUUGAAUCGAUAACUUCGCCGAACUGUGAGAACGUCCUCUCUAGCUCAGCAUCUCCGGUGGCCCAUGCUAGGCCGCCGACGAAACACCGGUACUCAACUUCAGACAUUUUUUUUUCUAACAGACGGAGAAAAGUAAAGGUUAGAGAGAGAGAAAGAGACUUGUGAUUUGAGAUGAUAAGACGGAACCUUAAUUUAUAGAAGGAGAUGACGUAGUAACUGGGGUUAAGAUAUUUUCUAGGGCUGCCGAGAGAUGGGUGUAACUAUGAUUAGGAAGUGCGGUUAAAUGGUUAGUGGAUAGGCCCACCAUCAUCAUGUGAGUGAGUGUGUGCACUUUGGGAAAACAAAG